UACGGAGGGUGCGAGCGUUGUUCGGAAUUAUUGGGCGUAAAGGGCGCGUAGGCGGCGGUCCAAGUCGAGUGUGAAAGCCCCGGGCUCAACCUGGGAGGUGCGCUCGAGACUGGUUCGCUGGAGUUCGGGAGAGGAGCGUGGAAUUCCCAGUGUAGAGGUGAAAUUCGUAGAUAUUGGGAAGAACACCGGUGGCGAAGGCGGCGCUCUGGACCGAGACUGACGCUGAGGCGCGAAGGCGUGGGGAG
rnacentral:rRNA from 1 species